rnacentral:rRNA from 1 species
UACGGGGGGGGCAAGCGUUGUUCGGAAUUACUGGGCGUAAAGGGCGCGUAGGCGGCCAUCUAAGUCAGACGUGAAAUCCCCCGGCUUAACCUGGGAACUGCGUCUGAUACUGGAAGGCUUGAGUUUGGGAGAGGGAUGCAGAAUUCCAGGUGUAGCGGUGAAAUGCGUAGAUAUCUGGAGGAAUACCGGUGGCGAAGGCGGCAUCCUGGACUAACACUGACGCUGAGGCGCGAAAGCUAGGGGAGCAAACGGG